CCUGGCUCAGGACGAACGCUGGCGGCGUGCCUAAUACAUGCAAGUCGAGCGGACCGAAUAGAAGCUUGCUUCUGUUUGGUUAGCGGCGGACGGGUGAGUAACACGUGGGCAACCUGCCCGUAAGACGGGGAUAACUUCGGGAAACCGGAGCUAAUACCCGAUAACCCUGAAGACCGCAUGGUCUUUAGUUGAAAGGCGGCUUCGGCUGUCACUUACGGAUGGGCCCGCGGCGCAUUAGCUAGUUGGUGAGGUAACGGCUCACCAAGGCGACGAUGCGUAGCCGACCUGAGAGGGUGAUGGGCCACACUGGGACUGAGACACGGCCCAGUCUCCUACGGGAGGCAGCAGUAGGGAAUCUUCCGCAAUGGACGAAAGUCUGACGGAGCAACGCCGCGUGAGCGAAGAAGGUCUUCGGAUUGUAAAGCUCUGUUGUUAGGGAAGAACAAGUGCG
rnacentral:rRNA from 1 species